UACAGAGGUCUCAAGCGUUGUUCGGAUUCAUUGGGCGUAAAGGGUGCGUAGGCGGCGCGGUAAGUCGGGUGUGAAAUCUCGGAGCUUAACUCCGAAACUGCAUUCGAUACUGCCGUGCUUGAGGACUGGAGAGGAGACUGGAAUUUACGGUGUAGCGGUGAAAUGCGUAGAUAUCGUAAGGAAGACCAGUGGCGAAGGCGGGUCUCUGGACAGUUCCUGACGCUGAGGCACGAAGGCCAGGGGGAGCAAAACGGGG
rnacentral:rRNA from 1 species